UGCCAGCCGCCGCGGUAAUACGGAGGGUGCGAGCGUUAUCCGGAAUCACUGGGCGUAAAGGGCGCGUAGGCGGUUUGUUAAGUCCGAUGUUAAAGACCGAGGCUCAACCUCGAUACGGCGUUGGAUACUGACAAGCUUGACGGCUGGAGAGGCGAGUGGAAUUACCAGUGUAGCGGUGGAAUGCGUAGAUACUGGUAGGAACACCUAUUGCGAAGGCAGCUCGCUGGACAGCACGUGACGCUGAGGCGCGAAAGUGUGGGGAGCAAACCGGAUUAGAUA
rnacentral:rRNA from 1 species